CUACAUCCUCAUAAUUCUCCACCUGCCAUGAUCUCUAUUCUUACCUGGUUUUAUAACUUUGAGGGGGUUGUAAACACAUUCUUCUUCUGCUUCACAGGGAAGGAUGAAAAAUUGAGAAAGUCCUGAAGUGCAAAACCUCUGGAGGGAAAAUAAGUUUACAAAACUGACAUCUUUUUAUGUGCAGUUUCUGACAUCUUACCUGAUAAACUUACUCUUCUUGAGAUUGCAGGGACUAAACUUCAAGACAUACAGAAAAUUAUUGUAGCUUCCAGAAUCCACUGGAUCUCAGCAGAGUAUCCCAGCAAUUACCCAUUCACAGAGAAGUGGUCUUUCUACAGUUUGAUGCAGCAAUCAGACAUCAAUUAUGCUACAUAUCUCCUUUGGACCCUGGGUACACGGUGGAGAUUUUUGUUUGGUUUUGCCUUUUGGAUGGCAAGAAAAAUGAAACAGAGUUUUCCUGCUGGUAUCCCGAGAACUGUGGAGUCUGGCGAGUUCCUGGGUGAUGGUGUGCUGCAGCCGACCUCUAGUGGAAGGACCACAGCUCAGGGAGACACCAAACAAAGGCAGGAAAACUCGAGAAAAUGCACAGAAACCACUAGUGAGAGCUGA
rnacentral:lncRNA from 1 species